UACGGAGGGUGCAAGCGUUAUCCGGAUUCACUGGGUUUAAAGGGUGCGUAGGUGGAUCUAUAAGUCAGUGGUGAAAGCCCCGAGCUCAACUUGGGAAUUGCCAUUGAUACUGUAGAUCUUGAGUGCGGUUGAGGUAGGCGGAAUGUUGCAUGUAGCGGUGAAAUGCUUAGAUAUGCAACAGAACACCGAUUGCGAAGGCAGCUUACCAAGCCGAUACUGACACUGAGGCACGAAAGCGUGGGGAUCAAACAGG
rnacentral:rRNA from 1 species